GUGCUUGAUUUGGCAGCACAUAUACUAAAAAUUGGAACAGUACAGAGAAGACUGGCAUGGCCCCUACGAAAGAAUGAUGAUAUGUAAAUUUGUGAAACGUUCCAUAUUUUU